UACGUAGGUGGCGAGCGUUGUCCGGAUUUACUGGGCGUAAAGCGCGCGCAGGCGGUCCGGUAAGUCUCCGGUGAAAUCGCCCGGCUCAACUGGGCGGGUGCUGGGGAGACUGGCGGACUUGAGGAGCCUAGAGGCCGGUGGAACUCCCGGUGUAGUGGUGAAAUGCGUAGAGAUCCGGAGGAACACCAGUGGCGAAGGCGGCUCGCUGGGCUAUACCUGACGCUGAGGCGCGAAAGCGUGGGGAGCAAACAGG
rnacentral:rRNA from 1 species